GACAGAGGGUGCGAACGUUGUUCGGAAUUACUGGGCGUAAAGCGCGUGUAGGCGGCAGCGCAAGUCGGGCGUGAAAUCCCACGGCUCAACCGUGGAAGUGCACUCGAAACUGCGCAGCUAGAGUCCUGGAGAGGAAGGUGGAAUGCUUGGUGUAGAGGUGAAAUUCGUAGAUAUCAAGCGGAACACCGGUGGCGAAGGCGACCUUCUGGACAGUGACUGACGCUGAGACGCGAAAGCGUGGGGAGCAAACAGA
rnacentral:rRNA from 1 species